AUUGUUAGACCGGGAAGUCACCGAACACCGAAGAAAAGAAAUUAUAUUUAUAUUUUAAAAAUAUAACUGAGAUUACUUUGAUCUUCUCAUAAUUAUUUUAUAGAAUUUUGUUUUUAAGACCACGUAAUAUGGAAAGAAUCUAGGCAAACAGUAAUUUUAUUGUUUAAGACUAAAUUCUGUUGAUUUGGGACACAAAGCUGCAUAAAGCAUCAACACAUUUUUUAAAAAAGUUUCUGUGUAAGAAACUGAGGGCCUGUUGCAACUAUUACCAUUUUCAAUCACUAAAAUCUGCAUGAUAGAAUCAAUGUUUUCCUGUGCACAUGCAAUGCUUCAUAUAAAAUUAGCAAGGGGCAUUAAAUAUGAAAUGCACACAUGCAUGGAAAUAUUUCAAAACAGGAUGUUGAAUUGGGCUAACUAUUGAAAGUCCUGAAUGCUGCAAUGCAUACGUUUUAUUCUAACCAAAGAGGUCUGAGUGCCAUCUCUCAAGUGUACACUAUCAACGAUAGUUCCGUUUGCAAGAGGAAACUUUUGACUCAAAUCUUCAAACCUUUUCUUCUUUCAAAAGAAAUUACUGCCACUCUUUCUAUGACCAAUAUGAUGACCAGCACCAGCAGUACUUUGAGGUUAGAACUCUACGAAGUUAAAAAACAUCUUCAGCCCAAGUACCAAUAAUCACAUUGGUAUUAGGGUUAGUUAAAAUUAGUAGUUGGAAGUUGAGACCAGAUGGAGAAUCAGUGCUUGUGCAAUUACAGUCGAGAGUAAAGGAAUAAAAAAACAGAUGAUCCUAAAUUUCCCCAGUUGACUGCCUAUAUUCAAGUCAUCGUCAAUCAGGAGCGACAACAAGGUGCAGUAACAUCGGCCCGGUCUUUAGAAGUGAUCUUCAAUUCAACAGCAGCUGCCGAAUGGUCCUUGGAUUACGAAGUUUUUCUUAGUUAUUCUUCGUUCAAGAUUAAAAAAUUCCGCAAAGUUCAUGUAAAAGAAUAAGUAAUCACAUGGAACCGUGGACACAUUUCAAAAACAAAACAAAAUUGUCUUUCAUUCUCCUCUUUAUUCAGAUGCCAAUAUUGCACACCCUUUCAUUCGUGACGCCAUUCGUGAAAUUGUUGGAACAUGACUGACUGUAUUCUAGCUAGGUAAUAUUAUUUGUGCAAAUUUUUAAGCUAAUAAAACUAUCUUUUGUGAUAA